GGAGAGCUGGCCGAGUGGCCGAAGGCGCACGCCUGGAAAGUGUGUAUACGGCAACGUAUCAAGAGUUCGAAUCUCUUGCUCUCCGCCA
rnacentral:tRNA from 1 species